GGAUUGAGGCUCAGUCGUAGAGCAUUUGCCUAGCAUGUGUGAGGUCCUGGGUUCGAUCCCCAGCACCA
rnacentral:tRNA from 1 species